rnacentral:SRP_RNA from 1 species
GCUGGGCACAGUGGCUUGUGCCUGUAAUCCCAGUACUUUGGGAGGCUGAGGCAGGUUGAUCACCUGAGCUCAGGAGUUUGAGACCAGCCUGGGCAACAUGGUGAAACCCUGUCUCUA